GCGCUGAGGACAGAUGGGGUCAGGAAAAAGGGGAGGGGGAGCACUGUGUGCUUGAAGUUUGGACUUGCUAUUUACUCGCAAUUUAAAUCUUAAUCAUUAAAUUCUUCCUCAUUCGCUAAAUAUUUGUCUCUCCUACUUAGGGUGACCAAACCCUUAAUACAUUUAUACAAACAAAGCUGCUUUAAAAACGGAGAAGCAUCGAUGGAGGCGUUGGAGCUGGAGCUGGAAGAAGUGGAGUCCCAGAUCCGCGCGCUGGUGGUAAGACGGUCGCGGCUACGGGAACGGCUUCUA